GACGAACGCUGGCGGCGUGCUUAACACAUGCAAGUCGAACGAAGAGCGAUGGACGCUUGCUUCUAUCAAUCUUAGUGGCGAACGGGUGAGUAACGCGUAAUCAACCUGCCCUUCAGAGGGGGACAACAGUUGGAAACGACUUCUAAUACCGCAUACGAUCUAAUCUCGGCAUCGAGGAUAGAUGAAAGGUGGCCUCUACAUGUAAGCUAUCACUGAAGGAGGGGAUUGCGUCUGAUUAGCUAGUUGGAGGGGUAACGGCCCACCAAGGCGAUGAUCAGUAGCCGGUCUGGGAGGAUGGACGGCCACAUUGGGACUGGGACACGGCCCAGACUCCUACGGGAGGCAGCAGUGGGGAAUCUUCCGCAAUGGACGAAAGUCUGACGGAGCAACGCCGCGUGGGUGAUGACGGCCUUCGGGUUGUAAAGCUCUGUUAAUCGGGACGAAAGGCCUUCUUGCGAAUAGUGAGAAGGAUUGACGGUACCGGAAUAGAAAGCCACGGCUAACUACGUG
rnacentral:rRNA from 1 species